AGUGAAUGGUCACAGAGCCAUGAGCAGGUGGAAGAUGCAGGUGGAGGCAUCUUCCCUGUCACCGUUGGUAUGUCUGGUUGAAACCUGCAACAAGGAAUCAGUCUUCAUGCAACUCUCAGCAACCUCUACUGAGAUCUCUGUUGAAGCAUUGUUUGCAAGAGCAGAUAAUCAGAAACCACCCAAAAAAUCAUAAAGAAGACAUUGGGCAAAUCAACAAUGGUAUGCUGAGAUUUGGAUUGCCAAAUUGACCUUGAAGUGAAGGAGGCAGAUUUGCUUGUAAUAACAAUGAAAGCGAUACAAGAUCUUCUAUUUGAAGUGCAGAAUGUCCCAUUCACCAUGAGACGCUGGUAAAUAAUGUUUUCAUUUUGUGCAGCAUGCCUCCAGUUGUGUAAAGAAUGUAAAAGGGAAAUGUCUCAAAACAGAAGAAGACGCCUGUGGGCAGCACCUUCUGCAGAGUGAUCCUGGGAGCUGGAAAGAAGACUCACUUUUCAUUUUACAACCUUGGGCACUGUAAGGAUAUUUUGGGCUUGCUGGAGACCCAGGAAAGUGAGUGCUGUAAUUCCAGCCUGAAUCCAAAGGCCUGACAACCAGGGAAUUUGACGCUAUAAGUCCCGGUCCAAGGGCAAGAGAAGAUGAGAUGCCCCAGCUCAACCAGGCAUGCAGGAAGCAAAAGGGAUGAAUCUUUCCCUCCUUCCUCUGCCUUUUUGUUCUAUUCAGCCCCUCGAUGGAUUGGAUGGUUUCCACCCACACUGGGAAGGGCCAUCUGCUUUACUAAGUUCCCCCACUUGAAUGCUAGUCUCAUCCAGAAACAUCUGCACAGAUACACCUGGAAAAAAUUGGUGAAUCAGAGCAUUAACCCGUUGGCCCAGUCAAGUUGACACAAAAUUAAACCAUCACAGAAACUAUCUCUUCUGAAUAAAUAUAUUUCUCCUUUCCAUGGACAA
rnacentral:lncRNA from 1 species